AACGAACGCUGGCGGCAGGCUUAACACAUGCAAGUCGAGCGCCCCACAAGGGGAGCGGCAGACGGGUGAGUAACGCGUGGGAAUCUACCUUUUGCUACGGAAUAACUCAGGGAAACUUGUGCUAAUACCGUAUGUGUCCUUCGGGAGAAAGAUUUAUCGGCAAGAGAUGAGCCCGCGUUGGAUUAGCUAGUUGGUGAGGUAAUGGCUCACCAAGGCGACGAUCCAUAGCUGGUCUGAGAGGAUGAUCAGCCACAUUGGGACUGAGACACGGCUCAAACUCCUACGGGAGGCAGCAGUGGGGAAUAUUGGACAAUGGGCGCAAGCCUGAUCCAGCCAUGCCGCGUGAGUGAUGAAGGCCCUAGGGUUGUAAAGCUCUUUCACCGGUGAAGAUAAUGACGGUAACCGGAGAAGAAGCCCCGGCUAACUUCGUGCCAGCAGCCGCGGUAA
rnacentral:rRNA from 1 species